rnacentral:rRNA from 1 species
UACAGAGGGUGCAAGCGUUGUUCGGAAUUAUUGGGCGUAAAGGGAGUGUAGGCUGUUUCUUAAGUCUUCUGUGAAAUCUACGGGCUUAGCCUGUAACGUGCAGAGGAAACUGGGAGACUUGAGUGUCGGAGAGGAUAGGGGAAUACCCGGUGUAGAGGUGAAAUUCGUAGAGAUCGGGUGGAACACCAGUGGCGAAGGCGCCUAUCUGGCUGACAACUGACGCUGAGACUCGAAAGCAUGGGGAGCAAACAGG